AUGGAUGGACAACAUGAUGUGAGAUCUUCAAAUAUGAAAAAUGGUUGUGAUGUAGUGACCAACUCUGACAAUAUGAAGGCAGUUGAUCAUAUUGAUAGAAUAAGAGAUGAGAAUGUUCAUAGGAGGUAUGACUUGAGGAGUGCAAGAUUUAAGAGUACUUCUGAUGUACCUAGUAGUUCGAGCAAAAGAAAGCUGAAUCGACAUGAUGGAAGGAACAAUGAGCACAUGAACAGAAAAAAUGUAGUGAGGAGUCCAACAGUCCAAAGUAGUUCCAUCCAGCAAAAAUGGAUUACCAAGAGCAAGUACAAUAUAACUCGUGGGCACAAAAAUAAGAAGAGGACGGAAGCAACGCUAAGUUUUGGAAGUCAGUACCAUGUUACCGCCCAUCAAAUGGGGUACUUUCUUUCUGAUGCGUGUUAUGCUUGUGGGAAACCACGAGGUCCAUGCAUGCCAAUGAAGAGAGACAAACAAUUUUUCAGCCUUCCAAUAGUAUCUUCACAUAGAGAAUUUCUGACAAUACCUUGCAAUCUUCGUGAAAAGGUUAACAAGAUGGGUGAAGAUACGAUAAAUAUUGAAGAUAUGUAUCAAAGAAAUUACAAAGUUAAACUUGUAAAAGCUUCUGCAAUGACGUUUCUGUGUGGAAGUGGGUGGCAAGAAUUUGUGAUUACUCAUGAUAUUGAUGAUGGUGAUCGAGUUUGUUUCCACUUCAAAGAAGACUUGGUGACCAUGAUUGCAUUUGUUUACCGAGAUAAGCUUGUAUGGCGUGAUGGAAAGAAGGUUAUUGCGACAAAUGAAGUUCAACCAACUUACAUGAAAGGGCUUGUCCGUUCUUUCAAAAUGGAGAUGAGUAGCACUGACAUGAAUUGCAUGCUUACACUUAACAUGUCUAUUACUGAAGAACUAUGCUUGCCAAGAGAAGGUGAAGUUACACUUAUCAAUCGCAGAGGUGAUGUUAAAGUGGAAGAUGGAUACUCCAUUUCUGCUGAUGAUGGUUGUCUUGGUUUGACAUAUGGCUGGAAGGAUUUUCUUGAAAGAUUUCCAAUUCCAAUUAGAUCUAUCAUUGAAGUGAAUGUGGUGAAAGAGAAUAAUAAGUUGAUCAUGUACUUCCUACUGCUGGAGGUAGAUGUGUAG
rnacentral:rRNA from 1 species